CCAUGACUUCUCAAAGCAGCUAAUCCCCAGGUCGGCAGCUUUGAUUCGGGGAAACAGCCUCUCAUGUUGAGCAAUAUCCCUACUUACGGUGUUUCUCCAUUGAUUCUAGUUCUACAUUUUGUCCUCCUGCCCUUGGAUAUUCCUGCAGGGAUCAAAGGCAAUGAUCCUAUCUCUUCCACCAAGCCAGCCCUCUUCUCUCCCUGAGCUGAGUCUCCACUCCCUCCAACCAGAAGUCUGUUCUUGCUUUGUUUCAGCACAGGGCUCUAUGGGGAUCAGCCUGCGGGACACCAAGGUGAGUUCAGGAUGCCCUAGUGAAUUUCUUUUUCUCUGGCUUCCUAUUCCAUCUGGCAUAAGAAAAUGAAGUUUUUAAAGUAACAGGGGCAGCAUAGUUGACUCUGAGGAAGCUCAGGAAACAGAAAACAACAUGGAAGAGGGAAGGCUUUGGAUUACAGCAGGAGGAACAAAGAGGGUUGUUGUCAACAAGUUUCCCUCCAGAUAUGAUGUGAUUCUGGUGAGAUCUCAGAUGGAAAUGAGAAAGACAUUAUUGAAAACUGAAGGAAAGGUGGUCUUUGGGCAAAGAACAAAGGUGAUAUUUCUAAUUUCCCCCUUUUGGAAUGGGAAUGUCCAGCCUGUGCUUGUUCCAUCACUGUAUUUUGGAAGCACAUAACUUGUCUGGUUUCAUGUCUUCACAGCUGGAGAGGAAUUUUGCCUCAGGAUAAAUCAUACCUUGAGUUUCACUUACAUCUGAGUUAGCUGAGAUGAUAUUUAGAUGAGACUUUAGACUUUACAUUUUAGAAUUGAUGCUGGAAUGAGUUAAGUCUUUUGAGGUUACUAGGAUAGAAUGAAUGUAUUUUGCAUGUGGGAAGACAAACUGGGAGAGCAGAGGCAGAAUGUUAUGCGCUUUGCUCCUCUGAACCCGUGUUAAAGCCCUAACCCCCAAUGUGAUGGUAUUUGGAGGUAGGAUUUUCUGGAGGUAAUUUGGUUUAGAAGAAAUCAUGAGGGUGGAGCCCUGUGAUUAGAUUAGUGUCAUUAAAGGAAGAGGGAGACAAGAGCUUGCUUCAUUAAAGGAAGAGGGAGACAAGAGCUUGCUUGUGCUUUCACUCCAUCUCCCCCCCCCGCCCCGCCCCCGGCCACCUCCACCUUUGCCUUGAGAGAACACAAGAAGGCAAGUCAAGUAUAGGCACCUUGAUCUCGGACUUCUCAGUCAACAGAAAUAAAUGUCUGUUGUGUAAGCUACUCA
ensembl:lncRNA